AGAGUUUGAUCCUGGCUCAGGACGAACGCUGGCGGCAUGCCUAAUACAUGCAAGUCGAGCGGACUUGAAGAGAAGCUUGCUUCUCUGAUGGUUAGCGGCGGACGGGUGAGUAACACGUAGGCAACCUGCCCUCAAGCUUGGGACAACUACCGGAAACGGUAGCUAAUACCGAAUACUUGUUUUCUUCGCCUGAAGAGAACUGGAAAGACGGAGCAAUCUGUCACUUGAGGAUGGGCCUGCGGCGCAUUAGCUAGUUGGUGAGGUAACGGCUCACCGAGGCGACGAUGCGUAGCCGACCUGAGAGGGUGAUCGGCCACACUGGGACUGAGACACGGCCCAGACUCCUACGGGAGGCAGCAGUAGGGAAUCUUCCGCAAUGGGCGAAAGCCUGACGGAGCAAUGCCGCGUGAGUGAUGAGGGUUUUCGGAUCGUAAAGCUCUGUUGCCAGGGAAGAACGCUUAGGAGAGUAACUGCUCCUGAGGUGACGGUACCUGAGAAGAAAGCCCCGGCUAACUACGUGCCAGCAGCCGCGGUAAUACGUAGGGGGCAAGCGUUGUCCGGAAUUAUUGGGCGUAAAGCGCGCGCAGGCGGUCAUUUAAGUCUGGUGUUUAAUCCCGGGGCUCAACCCCGGAUCGCACUGGAAACUGGGUGACUUGAGUGCAGAAGAGGAGAGUGGAAUUCCACGUGUAGCGGUGAAAUGCGUAGAGAUGUGGAGGAACACCAGUGGCGAAGGCGACUCUCUGGGCUGUA
rnacentral:rRNA from 1 species